rnacentral:rRNA from 1 species
UUUUUCCUACGGGAGGCAGCAGUGAGGAAUAUUGGUCAAUGGGCGCGAGCCUGAACCAGCCAAGUCGCGUGAGGGAUGACGGUCCUACGGAUUGUAAACCUCUUUUGCCGGGGAGCAAGCGUGCGUUCGUGAACGCGCGUCGAGAGUACCCGGAGAAAAAGCAUCGGCUAACUCCGUGCCAGCAGCCGCGGUAAUACGGAGGAUGCGAGCGUUAUCCGGAUUUAUUGGGUUUAAAGGGUGCGUAGGCGGACUGUUAAGUCAGCGGUAAAAGCCCGGGGCUCAACCCCGGCGAGCCGUUGAAACUG